rnacentral:misc_RNA from 1 species
UGGCCAAGCUGGAGGCGAUUAGAGAGAAUGAGGUCAGUGUCGCGUUCAGAGAGGGAAACGUAGGUGGAGUUGAGAGAAUCAGAGAGCUGUACGUAGAAGCCAUGGUUAGGCCACAGAUCGGAUCCAGCGAGUGCGGGGACUAUGCCGAUGACUUGGAGGAGAGCAAAGCGGUGUUCUCCGGUGACACGGGCGGUGGAGUUCAUGGACUGAAGCAGCUUGAGGAGGAUUCCUGGAGUGAGAGAAGCCAUCGAGAGAGAGAGAGAGAGAGAGAGA